AUACGUAGGGAGCGAGCGUUGUCCGGAAUUACUGGGUGUAAAGGGAGCGUAGGCGGGAGUGCAAGUCAGAUGUGAAAUACAUGGGCUCAACCCAUGGGCUGCAUUUGAAACUGCAUUUCUUGUGUGAAGUAGAGGUAAGCGGAAUUCCUUGUGUAGCGGUGAAAUGCGUAGAUAUCAGGAGGAACACCGGUGGCGAAGGCGGCUUACUGGGCUUUUACUGACGCUGAGGCUCGAAAGCGUGGGGAGCAAACAGGAUUAGAUACCCUGGUAGUCCACGCUGUAAACGAUGAUUACUAGGUGUGGGGGGACUGACCCCUUCCGUGCCGCAGUUAACACAAUAAGGAAUCCACCUGGGGAGUACGGCCGCAAGGUUGAGGCUCAAAUGAAUUGACGGGG
rnacentral:rRNA from 1 species